AUACGAAGGGGGCGAGCGUUGUUCGGAUUUACUGGGCGUAAAGGGCGCGCAGGCGGCCAUUCAAGUCAGGCGUGAAAGCCCCGGGCUUAACCUGGGAGGUGCGUCUGGGACUGGGUGGCUAGAGAUCGGGAGAGGAGAGUGGAAUUCCCAGUGUAGAGGUGAAAUUCGUAGAUAUUGGGAAGAACACCGGUGGCGAAGGCGGCUCUCUGGACCGAUACUGACGCUGAGGCGCGAAAGCGUGGGGAGCAAACAGGAUUAGAUACCCUGGUAGUCCACGCUGUAAACGAUGUGUGCUAGACGUUGGGGAGCCUAGCUCUUCGGUGUCGCAGCUAACGCGGUAAGCACACCGCCUGGGGAGUACGGCCGCAAGGUUAAAACUCAAAUGAAUUGGCGGGG
rnacentral:rRNA from 1 species